ACUUAUAUAUAAGUUGUUUUUAAUAUAGAAAUUAUGCAAUAAGUGUUCUAGAUAACUUAAAACAUUUAUAAAAUUAGUAAAGGUGAUAGAAAUUUAUUUAAUUAAAUGAAAGUACUGUGAAGGAAAAACAAGAGUGGAUAAAUAAAAGAGAUAAAAUCUUGUACCUUUUGCAUCAUGGUUUAACUAGAUUUUGUUCUUACAUAAGAGUUCUCGAAACCUAGUGAGCUAUUUUCGACCAGUACUUUUAGGUAUUUUAAAAGUAAUUGUGGCAAAAAUUUUUUUAGAGUUGAAAAUAGAAAUGAUAUUUUAUUCGUAUUAGGUGAUAGCUAGUUCUUUUCCAAAAGUAUAGAAGUACUGCAAACUUUACUGUAUUGUGGUUUUCACAUUACCAUUAUACAUAUUUAAAGUUAAGUUAGAUUUUUGAGGAUAAGCUCAAGAAUACUCUAAAUUGUAUAUUUGUAUGUUAAAUAGUUAAAUUUAAGCUUGAAAAUGGCUAUAAUAUAUGAUUUUGUUAUAAUUUCAUUACUAUAAAAAACAAAAAAUAAGUUUACUUACUAUAAGAAAAGAAAGCCUUAAGAUUGGAAUUAAGGCUAAAUACAUGUUAAAAUGAGUAUAUAUAUAAACUUUAAUUAUUUAUUAUAAUAGAAAUACAAACUAGAUGUAAUGUUUGAAUUUUAAAUUGUCAAAAGGAACUCGGCAAAAUUUUAUUCCGCCUGUUUAUCAAAAACACCGCUCCUCGUUGUUAUGCAUGUGGAGUCGUACCUGCUCAGUGAAUAAUUUCAACAGCCGCGGUACUCUGACCGUGCAAAGGUAGCAUAAUCAUUUGCCUUAUAAUUGAAGGCUAGUAUGAAUGGUUUGACGAGAAUUAAGCUGUCUCUUUUCAACUAAAUAUAACUUUAUUUACAGGUGAAGAAGCCUGUAUUAUAUUGAAAGACAAGAAGACCCUAUCGAGCUUUAAAUAAUUUAAUAAGUUAACUAUAUAUUGAUAGAAAAAUUAAAUUGUUAAGGAUUUUAGUUGGGGCGACUGAGGAACAAACAAAGCUUCCUUAUUAACAUGGAAACAUACAGGUAUUGAUCCAAUAUUUUUGAUUAAGGGAAUUAGUUACCGUAGGGAUAACAGCAUAAUCCUCUUUGAGAGCUCUUAUCGAAAAGGGGGUUUGUGACCUCGAUGUUGGACCAGAAUAUCCGGAAGAUGCAGCCGUCUUCAAUGGUUGGUCUGUUCGACCAUUAAAAUUCUACGUGAUCUGAGUUCAGACCGGCGUGAGCCAGGUCAGUUUCUAUCUUCAAUUAUUAAAAUGACUUUAGUACGAAAGGACCAAGUUAUUACACUAAGUUGUUACGAGUAGAUUAAAUAUAAAGAGUUAUUAAAUUAUUAAGUAA
rnacentral:rRNA from 1 species